rnacentral:sRNA from 1 species
AGUGCACAUUCCGAUACAUCUCCCUCUCUCGUUCUUCGCAUCCAACGAAUCAGCAUUAGGCCGUUGUAUCUGGCUCACUUCGGCAGGGGCGUACACUGGACGAGGUGGAGAGAUAACAGAUGAGCAAGCAGAUGUCCGCCCUUUGUGGAGGUGAAAGGCAGCGUGGAACAAUUUUGAAAUACUCGUGCAUAUAUGGUCUUAUAUAUGGCUCUACUAUGGAUGCCGACCAAGAAUAUACCUUCUGGUUCUUAUCAGUCGUGUCCAUCUCAGCAAACUCCCAUCGAAUUAAACGAGGUCAAGAGAUGUUUGCAUCGGGCGCUAAAUAUUCUACAAGGGUUACAAAACGUGAGUGCUUUCAAUGCUUUUAUUAUUCCAGACUAUCUGAACGAAGUCUAUCUGGCGAAGGGGUGCCUUUCCUACCUAAUGGACCGUCACAAACUAGCUUUGGAAUAUAGAUAUAUUUAAUAGAAAAUUGAUAAAUAUGUACAUGGUUUUAUUGCUAUGCUUAUUGUUAUGCAUGUCAAUUUAUAUAAAUGUAAUAUAUGAAUAGACGAUAGAAGGAUAUUUUUAUACAGCUGAAAGUCUUUGGAAAACUACAUUAAAGGCUUCUCUUUAAGGCGCCGAUUGCGUACCAAAACACAGUCGAUAAGUGGCCGUGAACGAGACCUGGAAGCGGCGCGUUCAGGUGCUCAUCAGGCUGUCGAGGAAUGUGUUUUUGUUAAUGAUCUUGGUGGUGGCGAUCAGGAACUCUACA